UACGUAGGUGGCAAGCGUUGUUCGGAAUUACUGGGCGUAAAGGGUUGGUAGGUGGCUUGUUAAGUCAGACGUGAAAUCCCUCAGCUUAACUGGGGAACUGCGUCUGAUACUGGUGAGCUUGAGUGCAGGAGAGGAACGCGGAAUUCCAGGUGUAGCGGUGAAAUGCGUAGAUAUCUGGAGGAACACCGGUGGCGAAGGCGGCGAUCUGGACUGCAACUGACACUGAACAACGAAAGCCAGGGUAGCAAACGGG
rnacentral:rRNA from 1 species